rnacentral:rRNA from 1 species
UUUCAACCCAAUAGUUGGGGGUCUUAUUUGGCGGCGGCUGCUGGCUUAAUUGUUGGCGGCUGCUGCUGAGUGAGCCCUAUCAAAAAAAAAGGCGAACGUUUGGGCUUCGGCCUGAUUUAGUAGUCUUUUUUCUUUUAAACCCMUUCCYUAAUACUGAAUAUACUGUGGGGACGAAAGUCUCUGCUUUUAACUAGAUAGCAACUUUCAGCAGUGGAUGUCUAGGCUCGCACAUCGAUGAAGAACGCUGCGAACUGCGAUACGUAAUGCGAAUUGCAGGAUUCAGUGAGUCAUCGAAAUUUUGAACGCAUAUUGCACUUCCGGGUUAGUCCUGGAAGUAUGCCUGUAUCAGUGUCCGUACAUUAAACUUGACUUUCUUCCUUCCGUGUAGUCGGUGGAGGAGAUGUCAGAUGUGAAGUGUCUUGCGAUUGGUCUUCGGACCGGCUGCGAGUCCUUUUAAAUGUACUAAACUGAACUUCUCUUUGCUCGAAAAGUGGUGGCGUUGCUGGUUGUGAAGGCUGCUAUUGUGGCAAAUUGGCGACUGGUUUGUCUGCUGCGGCRUUAAUGGAAGAGUGUUCGAUUCGUGGUAUGGUUGGCUUCGGCUGAACAAUGCACUUAUUGGACGUUUUUCCUGCUGUGGCGUGAUGGACUGGUGAACCAUAGCUCGGUGGCUUGGCUUUUGAAUUGGCUUUGCUGUUGCGAAGUAGGGUGGCAGCUUCGGUUGUCGAGGGUCGAUCCAUUUGGGAACUUAAUGUGUACUUCGGUAUGCAUCUCAA